GCCUUAGCUCAGUGGUAGAGCACCUGCUUUGCAUGCAGAAGGUCCUGGGUUCAACCCUCCCCCCCGCACCCCCAGGUGGGGCU